UUGACCUCAAUCAGGUAGGACUACCCGCUGAACU
rnacentral:rRNA from 1 species